rnacentral:rRNA from 1 species
CAGUAGCCGCGGUAAUACGAAGGGGGCUAGCGUUGUUCGGAUUUACUGGGCGUAAAGCGCACGUAGGCGGACUUUUAAGUCAGGGGUGAAAUCCCGGGGCUCAACCCCGGAACUGCCUUUGAUACUGGAAGUCUUGAGUAUGGUAGAGGUGAGUGGAAUUCCGAGUGUAGAGGUGAAAUUCGUAGAUAUUCGGAGGAACACCAGUGGCGAAGGCGGCUCACUGGACCAUUACUGACGCUGAGGUGCGAAAGCGUGGGGAGCAAACAGGAUUAGAUACCCGGGUAGUCCCUGUCUCUUAUAU